rnacentral:tRNA from 1 species
GCCCAGGUGGUGGAAUUGGUAGACACAAGGGACUUAAAAUCCCUCGAAGGAAACUUCGUGCCGGUUCAAGUCCGGCCCUGGGCACCA